GUUCAAAGAAUGGUAAAGUUUGCAAGUUUUCUUGUAGUUGUUUGUUCCAUUGCUUCUGUAACAGCUGUCAAAGUAACAAAACCAACAAUAAAACCAACAACAAAACAACUGUCUUCUGGUAACAAUUGUAUGAGCUCAUAUUAUAAAUGUGAAGCCUCAAGUUUUUCAAAUUGGCUUCAAAAUAUUGUCUGCGUAAUCAAACUUGGUGAUUGCUUAAACAAUGUUUGCUCUGCUGAAAAAUGUCUCAAAGAUUGGAAGAAUUGUGUUAUUAAAGUUCGAAAAUUCGAUGAUCUUAAAAUGUGUUGUAAUUCGCUGAAGAAAUGCAUCCCAGAUAAUUGUGCUUUAAAUUAAAAAAGUUUUAUUAACCAAUUGCCCACAUAUUACUACAAUUAUUUUUUUUAUUCAUUUUAUAUUCUUGUUACAUUC
rnacentral:lncRNA from 1 species